rnacentral:rRNA from 1 species
AGUGAACGCUGGCGGUAUGCCUAACACAUGCAAGUCGAACGGCAGCACAGUAAUUUCUUUCUCUUACGGUUUGCGCGUGUCGUACGGUUGACGUAUACAUCGCAAUCUUCUUUUUCUUGUGUGUUAUCGUAGUUAAACUUACUCUAAUACCUCAUACUUCCUACCGUUGUAUUCAUUGGUUCUUCUGACCUUUCUCUUUUGUUUUAGCCGAUGUCGGAUUAGCUUGUGGGCUGGGUAAAGGCCCACCAAGUCGACGAUCCGUAGCUUGUCUGAGAGGAUGAUCAGCCACACUGGAACUGAGACACGGUCCAGACUCCUACGGGAGGCAGCAGUGGGGAAUAUUGGACAAUGGGCGAAAGCAUGAUCCAGCAAUACCGCGUGGGUGAAGAAGGCCUUCGGGUUGUAAAGCCCUUUUGUUGGGAAAGAAAAGCAGCAGGUUAAUACCCCGCUGUUCUGACGGUACCCAAAGAAUAAGCACCGGCUAACUUCGUG